rnacentral:rRNA from 1 species
GUGAGGAAUUUUCCGCAAUGGGCGAAAGCCUGACGGAGCAAUGCCGCGUGAAGGAUGAAGGCCUAUGGGUUGCAAACUUCUUUUCUCAGAAAAGAAUUAUGACGGUAUCUGAGGAAUAAGCAUCGGCUAACUCUGUGCCAGCAGCCGCGGUAAGACAGAGGAUGCAAGCGUUAUCCGGAAUGAUUGGGCGUAAAGCGUCUGUAGGUUGUUUAAAAAGUAUUCUGUCAAAGAUUAGGGCUUAACCCUAGAUAGGCAGAAUAAACUUUUAAGCUAGAGUUUGGUAGAGGCAGAGGGAAUUCCCGGUGGAGCGGUGAAAUGCGUAGAUAUCGGGAGGAACACCAAAGGCGAAGGCACUCUGCUGGGCCAAUACUAACACUGAGAGACGAAAGCGAGGGGAGCAAAUGGGAUUAGAUACCCGAGUAGUCC